UAUUAGGAAAAUUAUUUCUAAAUUUGGAAAGUAAUUUGAAAAGAAAAUGUUUUUAUUUGUUUUAUUUUAUUCAACGUUUGAGGAGCUACAGCGUACGUACAACAGACAUCUGUUAGAGAGAAAAAAGAGGAGGAUGUCAAGAACAAAGUUUAUCCGUUUUUACCGGCGGAGGUUUGAGACAGACAUCAAGUAUUGGAGUCUCAAUCCCCAUGUCCCUGUUCUUGAGAAGUUUUUUGAUGGAGGGGAUACAAAAGCAGACUUUCGUCUGACGAGAGAGAGCCUCAAUAAACUUUUGGAGCUACUUCAUCAGCAACGGAGACAUGGCUGGGGUACAAAACUCCAGACACUGGUGUUUUUGUAUUGGUUGGCUUGUGGUGCAUCUUACAGGGUUGUGUCGCAGGCUUUUGGGAUGCCACGGCCAACCAUUCACAGAAUUAUACAUCGAGUGGCUGAUGAAGUCAUAGCAAUUUUGCCAAAGGUUGUAGUCCUACCAAAGACAGAAGAACACCUGAUCCAGGUUGGUGCAGGCUUUGCUUCUCUCACCAAUCACCAGGCAUUUGGUAAAGCUGUUGGAGCAAUUGAUGGAUGCCAUGUGAGAAUAAAACCACCAGCUGGCCCUGAUGGACAGUGCUAUAAAAACAGAAAGCUGUUUGCCUCUAUCCUGCUUCAAGGUAUAUGCGACCAUCAAGGAGCAUUUUUAGACAUUUUUGUAGGGAACCCUCACGGGUGCUUAAGAACAGCCCCAUUUACAACCAGGCAAAGUAUCCACCUCAGGGCUUUUUCCUCCACGGCGAUGGUGGGUACCCCUGCACAGAGAAGCCAAUCGCAAUCAUGACACCGUUUAAGAAUCCAGCCUCACCAUCUAUUCAGCGCUUCAAUGCACAUUUUUUCAAAGGCCGCUCAAUUAUUGAGCGUGCUUUUGGAAUGAUGAAGACGCGAUUUAGAGCCAUCUUCCUUCAGGCACUUGAAGUGCAUCCAACAUUUGCCCCAAAGGUAAUAGCAUCAUGCACCAUGCUGCACAACAUCUGCCUUGGUGUUGGCGACAUUAUACUGUACAACCAGACGACAGCCAAGAAGAAGAGGAAGAUGAUGUGGAGGCAUGCAAUCAAGUAGAGGCAGUAUCUGGAGCAGCAUGGCGUUUGAGAUUGUGCAACCAAGUGUCUGCCUUACAGGAUGUCAACCAGGACCACGACUACAUAAUUCAUCCUAAUUAAAAAUGCUUACCAAGAAGUCAGCAUGAGAGCUCACACAACACGACAUCUUUUUCACAAUAUAUCUUUUAUUUUUGUUAAUGUGUAACCAAAUACAUUUAUUCAUUAGAGAUUUUUUAAGCCAUUUAGAAUUGAUUACUUUAAAGAUUUAGUGAAAUGUUGUCUACAGAGUUACCUUUUUAAUAAUUGUAAGUAACAAUAGUAAGUAAAUAUUGUAAAUAGUUUUAUUACAUUUUAUCAAUUAACUUUUCGAGUAAAUUAAAGAGCCUAUCACUCCUC